UUUCCGUAGGUGAACNUGCGGAAGGAUCAUUG
rnacentral:rRNA from 1 species